GGGAAUUUUCCACAAGGGGGAAAACCCUGAUGAAGCGACGCCGCUUGAGGGAUGACGGCCUUUCGGGUUGUAAACCUCUUUCAGCAGGGAAGAAGCGAAAGUGACGGUACCUGCAGAAGAAGCGCCGGCUAACUACGUGCCAGCAGCCGCGGUAAUACGUAGGGCGCAAGCGUUGUCCGGAAUUAUUGGGCGUAAAGAGCUCGUAGGCGGCUUGUCGCGUCGGUUGUGAAAGCCCGGGGCUUAACCCCGGGUCUGCAGUCGAUACGGGCAGGCUAGAGUUCGGUAGGGGAGAUCGGAAUUCCUGGUGUAGCGGUGAAAUGCGCAGAUAUCAGGAGGAACACCGGUGGCGAAGGCGGAUCUCUGGGCCGAUACUGACGCUGAGGAGCGAAAGCGUGGGGAGCGAACAGGAUUAGAUACCCUGGUAGUCCACGCCGUAAACGGUGGGCACUAGGUGUGGGCAACAUUCCACGUUGUCCGUGCCGCAGCUAACGCAUUAAGUGCCCCGCCUGGGGAGUACGGCCGCAAGGCUAAAACUCAAAGGAAUUGACGGG
rnacentral:rRNA from 1 species